AGAAAACAGCAGGGAUUAGAGGAUCUGUGUCUGUGCUCCGGGAGGAUGGGGAGAAGAGGGACACGUCGCCGAACGGAACGAUGGACGUAUAAGAACCUAUAAAGAGCAGCCUUGAUCAGACGUCCUGAUUACGAGGAGGCUCGUUGGCCCGCGUUGCCACGGCAGCGGUCGUGGAGGAGGAGGAGGAGCGGCUGUUGCGUUGGCGCCACGCUCUGCUGGCGGGGAUGGA